UACGAAGGUCCCAAGCGUUAUCCGGAUUUAUUGGGUUUAAAGGGUGCGUAGGCGGCUUAUUAAGUCAGUGGUGAAAGCCCCAAGCUUAACUUGGGAACUGCCAUUGAUACUGAUGAGCUUGAGUAGAUUUGAGGCGGGCGGAAUGUGUCGUGUAGCGGUGAAAUGCUUAGAUAUGACACAGAACACCAAUUGCGUAGGCAGCUCGCUAAACUCUUACUGACGCUGAGACACGAAAGCAUGGGGAUCAAACAGG
rnacentral:rRNA from 1 species